GUCUACAAAACAUAAAUAUGAAUUAGAGGUGUACAUGAAAAUACUCAAAAUAACAUAUAAAUUUACAUUAAUUGAGCAAACAAAAAAGUCAUCUAAUGUUUCACAUAUUUAAGGUUCGCUGCCAGCAUAACAGCAGACUGCUCUACUCACGCAACAUGUUGCUAAGACUCAGCUGUUUGAGCAAAUACCGAAAACGAAUUGACUCGGUCACACAGCGACCAGGCCGAGCAGCCCGGUCACAUUGCCAGAAAUUUUUGUUGUUGUCAGUCCUAUCACGACUUUCGCAUAAACGACACGCAUAAAAUCGGUAAGAAGACGCCGCGUGUGUUUGAUGCAAAAGGCAGAGGAAAAAAUUAAUACAUACACACACAUGUAUUGCAAAAGCAAUUUCGCUACUGCCUAUCAAACUUCGGGUAGUGUGAUAGAAAGAUAAUGCAAUAAAUAUUCUGUGCUCCCCCAAACAAACGUGACCAAAUGCACAAAUAAAAAAAUUACAACAAAUACAAAAUAUAUUCAAUUGAUUGCCGUCGGUCUCGUUCGCGCUCUCUCUCUCGCUCGCUCGUUCGCCUCGCUCUUUCCCUCUGUGUGUGUGGCUGUGUCUUUAAAUGAAUGUGUGUACGCGUUAAUAAAACACAAAUAAUAACAAAUUCGUCAGACUUGCUGCAUUUUAGUCGUUGUUGCAGUUCCGCUGUGAACCACUGUGUUGCCGUCUCAGCUCGCGCCGCGCUUUGAGUUUGUAUUUGUACAUUUCACAUCGUCUCUCUCUCACACUGCCGCCGCCGCCGCCAACGACGCUGCACGCACACACACAUACGCAAGCCGCACGCAAAACCAAACACACACACAUUCAUAUAUACAAAUGCGGAAGAGUCGCCGCAGUCGGCAUAUUUAGCUCCCCACCGUUGCCAUCAACAAUAAUUCGCUGCCGUUGCCUCUGUCGCCGCCGCAGUCGUCGCUCAAUAAUUGUGCAUUUUGUUAAAAGUCGCCAUCACCAACAGCAACAACAACAGCAUAA